AGAGAUAACUUAAAACUAUACAAAACUAAGUCACAAAAUUAAUCCUACAAAAAUUUUAUAAGGUGAAAACAAAUUUCUUGCACAACUCUUUUAUUGAAAAUUUCAAUAGAAAGUUCUCAUUGCAUAGUUUGAUGAAAAUUCAUUAUGCCCAAGUCACAUUUUUUGACUGGGAACAAGAGAUUGAGCCGAGCUGUUAGGAUUUGUCAUAAUGCCAAGCACCUGCAUUAAAACAUAUUUAAAGUAUUAUUUUGAUCGGUACAUAUCUUUGUAUUGUUCAUAAUUUGUGUAUAUAUGUCUUCAUUUUAGCCAAACAAAUUUUUUUAGUACGUAGUGCAGAUUUUAGAAUCAUGUAUUUAUUACAAUAAUGCGUGGCUAAAGUGCUUUUUCUGUAUGAAUUUUUUGUUAGGGCCAGUGAGAGCAAUUUUAUUUAUUAAAGAGAUACACUGUAUAGUGGUUAUUUGCUGAUACAUUUUAGUUCAUUUGCUGGAAUCAAAAUCUCCAAAAAAUUAUUAACCAGCAUGACAAAAUUUUGAUACUCUUUAUAUUUGUUUUACAUUGGUGUAGGUUAAAUGCUGUUUACCGAUUAUUACAGUGUGAUUUUUUUAUUACCAAAUUUGGAUUUUUAGGUCACCUGAUCUUGGAUAAACAAUUACCUUUUAAGAUGAUAUGUAGGGGGUGAAAUAACAAAUUUCAAAAUGUAAGCUUAUGACAAAACUGUACAGUAAAAAUUGAAACCAAAACAAAAUCCUAUGCUACUUUUUAUUACAAGCUGAUAAAAGUAAAAUAUGUACUCACUGUUAAAUGUAAAUUCUGAUUUUUCUGGUUGGCAUUUUAAGUUUGGUUAACUCUCAUAGGGAUAAUUCUUGUAGUUUUUAAUAUGAACAGAAUAUGGUUAUUUAUGAAACUAAGAUUGAAACUGUCCACAAGCUUGCCGUACAACUUUCAUAUACCAGAUCAAUUAAAACAUUUCACAAAAAAAAUUAUGAAAAAAUAACAUCGGAUAUUUUAAAUUACAGCAUUAAGUGAUUUGUGGUACAUUGCUUUGCUUUGUAUAAAUCACUUAUCUUAAAAACAACAUUGUUCUGCACACGUAAAUGUAUACAGAACACAAAAUAUUCCAUUUUUCUCUCUCAGAAGCACCUCAAAAAUGAAAAAAAAGCAGAUGUUCAAAAUUUCUCACAAAAUUUUAUAUCAAGCCCUACCUUUGUUCAGUGUUUCAACUUAACUUUUUUGAAAUAUUGUGUUAAGAUGUCAGGACUUGUUCAGUGGAAUAAAAUUAUAAAAUAUUUA